rnacentral:rRNA from 1 species
GAUGAACGCUGGCGGCGUGCCUAAUACAUGCAAGUCGAGCGAACAGACGAGGAGCUUUCUCCUCUGACGUUAGCGGCGGACGGGUGAGUAACACGUGGAUAACCUACCUAUAAUCCUUGGAUAACUUCUGGAAACCGGAGCUAAUACCGGAUAAUAUAUUGCACCGCAUGGUUCAAUAGUGAAAGACGGUUUUGCUGUCACUUAUAGAUGGAUCCGCGCCGCAUUAGCUAGUUGGUAAGGUAACGGCAUACCAAGGAAAAGAGGCGUAGACGACCUGAGAGGGUGAUCAGCCAAACGGGAAAUGAGACAGGGACCAGAGACCGAAGGGAGGAAGCAGGAGGGAAUAAUGCGCAAUGGGCGAAAGAAUGACGGAGCAACGCCGCGAGAGGGAUGAAGGUCAUCGGAUCGUAAAACUCGGUUAUUAGGGAAGAACAAAUGUGUAAGUAGAAAUGCACGUAUUGAAGGUACAUAAUCAGAAAGCCACGGCUAACUACGUG